rnacentral:misc_RNA from 1 species
CUGAUCAUACAAAUUAGCCCUUAAUUACGUGGGUCAUUUGAAUUUAAGUUAUUUCAAAUUUUGAGUUCAUUCAAACAUAAUUAUGGAUUUGACAAAAAAUUUAAACUAUCCUAGCUACCUCAUUCUAUAUAUAUCCUUUAGAAACAGAUCAGUCUGUUCUUAUUGAUAAAUUGAGUUUUAUCUCCUUUUUGUGAGGAUUUGGUAUUUUCUCAAUUUGUUGCUUCCUCCAUUGCAAG